GUUACAGAGAGACACGUUCUAAUGUGAGGGUGUUAAAAAUGGAAAAUGUAAUGCAUAAACCGUCCAAACUGCAUAUCAACUGCAUGAAUCGGAUUGUCAUUUCAAUAUUUUGUAUCAUCAGGUUUUAGUUGGGAAAUCUAAAACCGAUUUUAUUGACUCGGCCGGACCGCAUGGUGUAUCGCAUGUUCGCGGUGGCUAACGCCAUUUUGGUUAUACGUGCCUGUAAAGAAAAUUAAGGAAAAGAGAGAGAACUUGAAUGGACAGAUAGGCCAGGUUUUUUUUUCUAUGUGGAUAUCCUUCUGAAUUUGGAUUCUUUUGAAUGAUGGCGAGCCUCCCACCUUGACUCGGAAAGUAUAACGGACCUGGAGUAAAGGACAAUUCUUAUUUAUCAUUUCUAUCAAGACAAGUAAGAGAAAUCGUUCACAGAGACUGAUUUUUUUUUCUACUUUAUGGGACUGAAUGAUUCGGGACCAUAACUAAAGGUGUCAAGAAGUUCUUAUUUGAAAAAAAAGAUUGUUUUAUUUGAAACAAAAUUUGGUAUGGGAAACAUGCAUUAUUGAUUUCAUAUUUUUAAUUGUGUUUACUUGAUUUCAGUGACUGUGAUUUGUAAUUACUAUUAGAGGGUGCACCCAAGGUAUGGUUAUAUACAUAGUUAUUGUGUUUUCUAUGGUCAUUGUUGUUAUGCUUGAGUGAAGAGAAACACUAAAAAUUCAAAGUAAAGAAACUUUCAUGGUUAAACUUA